AUAAUGAGACUUCCGCCCAAAAGGCGGCUCGGUGAGAACCACGGAGGGGUAAAACGGCCCAUG
rnacentral:ncRNA from 1 species